CAAUUUGUAGAGCAAUAAAUACCGAGGCGGUGGGAGGAGUCCCCAGAAGAAAAAUCGUCCUCCUUCUCCAAUUAAAACUCCAUCUCGGCAUCGCUGCGGACCGUGGGAAGGUCUGAAGGAAAACACGGUGGCCCCGAUAUUCUUCUAACUGAAAAGUGCUACACAGUCUCUUCUAGACGAGAUGUCUGACUAGAAAGGACAGGUGCAAAACCAGAGCAGCAAAUCAGAGUGUGAAACUCAGUGAUGCUACUGCUGUCUCCAGCUGUCCUCCUCUCAGGCUCCCCCACAGGCAGCUAGCUUGGAUAAUGUAUCUCUGGCAGUUAAAAGAACAUAUGUACGUGUAUAUCCCCAGAGCAGACUGCAAACAUGUUUUUAGAAGUACACAAGAAGACAUCUAUUUCAUAGGUCAAACCAAAGGAAUCUGGCUUUUAUUGUUAAAGGACUCGAGGGAACACAUGUAUUGCUGUCAGCUUCUCUCCACACCCACUCUGUGAGAUGACUACAGGAUCAUUUUAAUCAAGAAUGAAGACUACAUAAUUCAAGCAACAGGGUCAAAAGUCUGAUGUCUGCAGGGAAGGUGCAUUGGUUUAACUUCAGUCAGAUUUUAAAUCUUGGCUUUAAGGCUUGGCUAAAUAAUUAGGUCAAACCAGUGCAACGUUCCGUGUAACUAAGGCCUUAAAAAAGGAUUUUAAAGAUAAAUAUCUCAGUUAAUUACUUAAGCUACAGUCUGAAACCUAUUGAAGUCAAUGAGACAGGAGAGCAAGCAGCCAACAAGAUACACUCUGAAGUGUCUUUCUGAAUCAGUAGCUUCAUUCUGCUCUAAGGAACAAACCUCCAUUUCAGCGAAAGUCAUCUUAGGAUCAUGGUGCUUUCUUAGAUCUCUGUCAGCCACAAAGCCUACAAGAGAGAGGACAGUGCUAAGGCCUCGCUGCAGGAGAGUGUUGCAGGAAGCUGGAGAGAGCAGAUUCUCAGCUAUACAUUCCAUUACAAAGUCUGACUUAAUUCAUGGAUCAGGAAUGGAAGACCAACUCCCUUGCCUUCAAACCAUGAGGAGUUUGAGAAAGUAGAGUCAACUUCUCACUGUACCAAACUAAAAGAACAGACACAAAUGAAAAACUUCAAUAGUGCAACAAGCUCUGCUCAAAGAAGCUCACCCAGCAGCCCGUUCAAUGCUUUGGCUUUUGUUAAAAGGGAGGUUCUUCAGAGCAAGAGGUUCCAUUACAUGUCUACAUGUUGAGGAGAAGACCCUGGCCAGUGGCCGGCCACCCAUUCAGCCACUCCCUCACUCCCCUUCCUCAUGGGGGCAUGCAGGGGCAGAAAAAUGAUGAAAAAGCUUGUGGACAGAGAUAAAGACAGGGAAAUUACUUACUAGUUACUGUCAAGCAAUUACUUACCAAUUUGUCACUUGGAGAAAAUUAAUUUUUUGCCAAUUGAAAGAGCUUUGGUUUUUUUGAGAAACAAAAUCAAAAACUGAAGGCACGUCUUACCCCCACAUCCUUUCCCACUUCAUUCCUGAUUCCUCUUUCAGUGAAUGGGAGGUGUGACGGGUCCACAACAGUUCCUCUCCACCUCUCCUUUCUCCUCACACUGUUCUCUUGCUCCACCAUGGGCCUCUUCAAUGGGCUGCAGAUUCAUGCUCUGUCUUGGAGGACCUCAUUACUCUCCUCUUUCUCUGAACUUGGCCUUCACCCCAUUACUUCAUCCUUUUUUUCCCCUUCCUCUGCCUGCCUAGUGCUUUUGCCCAUUCUUUAAUACAUCUUCCCUGAGACACCAGCAAAAAGCCACGUGGGCUCCUGGAGCUUGGCAGCGUCUGCUAGGAUGGCCACUGGUCCAUCACUGGUCAACAAUGAGUGUUGCGCCAUCACUUGUUGUAUGCUUCUGGUUCUAAUGCAAGGGAGCAGAUUAUAUAUAACAUCACUAUUUCCAACCUCAGAUAUUCAGCAAAUGUAUUUUUUUCCCCAAAUACUUUUCAAUGGCAAAUAUAGAUACCUUUUCAUUUGUAUUUUGACCUCCAAGCCUUGAAUCUUUCUCCAAACACAUAGUCAAGAAACUCAUUUUUCAAAAGUCCUAAGAGUUGAGUUUCUUAUGAGAGUCUGGUCCACUUCAAGGAGAGAAACCUCAGUUUAUGAAAAAUAAUAUUACAACUGUUGUGCUGGCUGAUGUCCUCUACUUUUACAAGAGAACAAUAGAAAAUCAAUUACACUGACAAACCCCCCUUGUGGGGUGAAACUGUGUAGGCUUUCCCAACAGACAUAACAGAUGUUUCUUGAAGAGUGAUUUCUGAAGGUAAGGAAAUAAGGCAUCUUUUCAUGAAUAUUAUAUCUUCAUUUCUGCAGCUACAUAUUGUAAUCCUUCUGCAUUUCCAAGAGUGGUAGGCUUUAUCACAGAGACAAUUGCUUUGUGUUGGACUAAAACCACAGCUUUUUUGCUUAUGGACUACCAAGCAAUGUGUAGAUGGUGACACUCACCAAAAAUCUCAGCAAACUGACAUUGCAUCAGGUGAAAAACAUUUGUCCUGCUCCUUUCCCCCACCAUGCCACCCUUCUCUGUCUCAUAUUGUACAUCAAGAAAAAGAUACAGUAUUUGGUAUUUAAAACUUACUUUUGUAGAAGGUUGUAGCAGCACACAUUUUUAGAGAAGUAUUCUGCCAGGUCAGGGGAGGAUUUAUUUUCUGAAUGCCUAAUACAUAUUUAAAAGCUGAUAAUAGUACAUGACAGCACCAAAAAUGUUAUAUAACUUCUAGAAUGUCUAUUAAAAAAGUAGAGCCUUGCCAUUAAAAAAAAAAGUAGAAGCCUGUGAGAUUCCCACCAUCUGGAUGGAGUCUUUUUUCUUCCCAGAUGAAUUAGUUGUCAAGGGAGGAAUUAUUUUAGGCAUCAAGUAACCCCUGAUUGUGAGUGACAGACUAACACAAGAGCAGAUGCAAGGUUACUGCUGCCUAUCCAUUAUGUGGAAAGGAGACCCAUGCAUGUCCUACUUACUGUGCAUACUGACUUGGGUUAUUAAAAGAGUAACUAGAGGUGGGUCAGACCCAGAAGAUAGCUCAUACGACUCACAACAGAUGUUCUUUCACAGGAGAGAAAACAAACACUGGAUACUUUCUGGGGAUACUGUAGAAGGAGGGGACUUCACUACUUUCAACAAGUCACAAGUACAGAUUCCCAACAGAGGCACAAACCAACUUUUUCAUUCAAAUAACAGUUAUUUGAGACCGUGAUGAAACACGAGAGGACUGUGGACCGUGCCAGUGAGAAUAAAGAAAUAAAAAACAGUGCCAUCUUGUGGUUAACGUGAUUAAUCCCUGAUCCUAAGCCAAAGGUAUUAGAAUUUAAAUAUUUGCAUGUCUUUAUCUAAAGUAUGUUAUUCAUCCUAAGCAAUAAACAUAACUCUUUGCCAUAUAUGUUAGGCCUACAGUACUCUGAAUGCUCCCAAGAGGAAAGAGGAAAAUCUUUUGCACUAAGAAAAAAGUACCGGUAACUUCUGGCCAAACGAUAAGUAACCUUAUUUCAGUUCAGAAUCCUGUCUUGAAUAUGCAGACUUUGGUUUUAUCAUAUGACUGAAACAAAUACCUCUUCCUUUUAUAAUUGCACGUGUUAUAAAAGAGUGGCAUAUUGUUUUUAUUGGACUAAUUCUCGCUCCACUACUACUGAAGAGAUUUGAGAGCUCAUAUAUUCAUCAUCCGUCGAAGUAAUCUCCAUGGUAUCUUAGAUUCAGACAAA
ensembl:lncRNA